rnacentral:lncRNA from 1 species
AUGGUGAGAGAAGAAGAAAUAGAGGGGGGCAGGAAAAGGAAAACAAGGGCAAAAUCUCAUCCAGCUGACUCUGCCCCCCUUUUAUUGAAGGAGAUUUCCAGGAAGUCCCAUCUCUGUGUGCCUCUACUGCAUCAGAUGGCUGUUUUCUGCAAGAUGGCUAUUAUGUGCCUGAGAUUGUGGGGUACAAAACAUUUGCAUGUUGUAUUUAUUGUUCAUAACAGCCCUGUAAGGAAGACCUUUUCAACCCUGGGUUCUAGUUUCAUCCUUGCUGUUAUACAGCUAAGUAAUAUGAGAUAAUCACUUUCCUCCUGGCCCCCAGUUUUCUCACUUGUUUUAUGAGGGUCUAGACUAAAUAAGGAGUCCUUAACUUAAGGUCUAUAUACCCCUGUGGGGACCGUGGAUAAAAUUCAGGCAGGAGCAGAGUUCCCUUCGUGGCUCAAUGGUAAUGACUAGUAUCCAGGAGGAUGCAGGUUCGAUCCCUGGCCUUGCUCAGUGGGUCAGGGAUUAGGCAUUGUCAUGAGCUGUGAUGUAGGUCACAAAUGUGGCUCAGUUCCUGCAUUGCUAUGGCUGUGGCACAGGCUUGCUGCUGUAGCUCUGAUUUGACCCUAGCCUGGGAACUUCCAUAUGCCUCAAGUGUAGCCCUAAAAAGACAAAAAAAAAAAAAAAAAAAAAAGCAGGGAGGAGGGCUGUGAAUUGAGGUGGGGGAAAUUAUUACAUCCUUGUUUUCCUUAACUUCUGGUUGAAAUUUAGCAUUUCCUUCUAUUAUGACUCUAGGCAGUGGACCACAGUAAUAUUAGCAGAACCUAUGAGUUUUUCACCAAAAGAAAUCAUAAAUAUUUUAGAGCAUCUUAUAGUUGUUUCAGAUAUGUUAAAAUAUCAUUUAUGUUCACCACUAUUUCAAAAUUAUGGUAGUUGUUACACCUGCCCUAUUUAAGGUGUUAAUAAAGAGAUAUACAUCUAUAUCUAUACA